rnacentral:rRNA from 1 species
AUUGAACGCUGGCGGCAGGCCUAACACAUGCAAGUCGAACGAGUGGCGGACGGGUGAGUAAUGUCUGGGAAACUGCCCGAUGGAGGGGGAUAACUACUGGAAACGGUAACUAAUACCGCAUACCAUCGGAUUUGCCCAGAUGGGGUUGGAUUGUAGGUGAGGUAACGGCUCACCUAGGCGACGAUCCCCAGCUUGUCUGAGAGGAUGACCAGCCACCCUGGAACUGAGACACGGUCCAGACUCCUACGGGAGGCAGCAGUGGGGAAUAUUGGACAAUGGGCGCAAGCCUGAUGCAGCCAUACCGCGUGGGUGAAGAAGGCCUUCGGGUGGUAAAGCCCUUUUGUUGGGAAAGCGGUACCCAAAGAAUAAGCACCGGCUAACUUCGUGCCAGCAGCCGCGGUAAUAC